GUGUCCUCUGCCUUGGGUGCCAUGCUGCUAUUGAUGACCUGCAUUACCACGUUUUUGGUCCACAAGGUAAAAUCUAAAGGAAGGCCUCCAUCAGACGAAUGUCAAAACCAGCGGGACAUGAGGAGCCGUGCAUCAGAACCCCAGGAUCUUUUCCAUAUGGGCCAUGUGUCCUAUGAUGUCCUCCAGGACCGCAGAACAAGAUGAAACUGAAAACAAAGGAAAAAAAA